rnacentral:misc_RNA from 1 species
GAUGAAGAACGCAGCGAAAUGCGAUAAGUAAUGCGAAUUGCAGAAUUUCCGUGAGUCAUCGAAUCUUUGAACGCACAUUGCGCCCACUGGUAUUCCGGUGGGCAUGCCUGUUCGAGCGUCAUUAUCCUCCCUCAAACCCCGGGUUUGGUGUUGGACCCAAGUUGUGUGAACAACUGGUCUCAAAGACAAUGACGGCGUCCGUGGGACCCUCGGUGCAACGAGCUUUUAGGAGCACGCAUCGAGUUGCAAGGACCUUCCGGGCCGGUCUCCUUUACCAUUUUACAAGGUUGACCUCGGAUCAGGUAGGAAUACCCGCUGAACUUAAGCAUAUCAAUAAGCGGAGAA